rnacentral:rRNA from 1 species
GAUGAACGCUAGCGGGAGGCCUAACACAUGCAAGCCGAGCGGUAGAGUUUCUUCGGAAACUUGAGAGCGGCGCACGGGUGCGUAACACGUGUGCAACCUACCUUUAUCUGGGGGAUAGCCUUUCGAAAGGAAGAUUAAUACCCCAUAAUAUAAUGAUUGGCAUCAAUUAUUAUUGAAAACUCCGGUGGAUAGAGAUGGGCACGCGCAAGAUUAGAUAGUUGGUGAGGUACGGCUCACCAAGUCAAUGAUCUUUAGGGGUCCUGAGAGGGAGAUCCCCCACACUGGUACUGAGACACGGACCAGACUCCUACGGGAGGCAGCAGUGAGGAAUAUUGGACAAUGGGUGAGAGCCUGAUCCAGCCAUCCCGCGUGAAGGAUGACGGUCCUAUGGAUUGUAAACUUCUUUUGUACAGGGAUAAACCUACCCUCGUGAGGGUAGCUGAAGGUACUAUACGAAUAAGCACCGGCUAACUCCGUG